AAUCAGCUGCGGGGCUCGUUUGAAGCACAUAUGUUCCCCGGGGCCUAUAAGAUCCGCACGGGAGCUAUCCCUGCCGGAGUCGUGGCUUCGGACACAUGGCGCCCACCUACUUUUUGUAGGAACCACGCGGGAUCAUUCGCUUCGACGGCUACCGCGGCUAUCU
rnacentral:sRNA from 1 species